CCNUGGAUCCUGUCGGAGGAAGUUUGAUNUCNGCUCGUCACAGCNUCCGGAAAGGUAGCUUGCUACCGGACCUAGCGGCGGACGGGUGAGUAAUGCUUAGGAAUCUGCCUAUUAGUGGGGGACAACAUCUCGAAAGGGAUGCUAAUACCGCAUACGUCCUACGGGAGAAAGCAGGGGAUCUUCGGACCUUGCGCUAAUAGAUGAGCCUAAGUCGGAUUAGCUAGUUGGUGGGGUAAAGGCCUACCAAGGCGACGAUCUGUAGCGGGUCUGAGAGGAUGAUCCGCCACACUGGGACUGAGACACGGCCCANACUCCUACGGGAGGCAGCAGUGGGGAAUAUUGGACAAUGGGGGGAACCCUGAUCCAGCCAUGCCGCGUGUGUGAAGAAGGCCUUAUGGUUGUAAAGCACUUUAAGCGAGGAGGAGGCUACUUUAGUUAAUACCUAGAGAUAGUGGACGUUACUCGCANAAUAAGCACCGGCUAACUCUGUGCCAGCAGCCGCGGUAAUACAGAGGGUGCGAGCGUUAAUCGGAUUUACUGGGCGUAAAGCGUGCGUAGGCGGCUUAUUAAGUCGGAUGUGAAAUCCCCGAGCUUAACUUGGGNAAUUGCAUUCNAUACUGGUGAGCUAAANUAUGGGAGAGGAUGGUANAAUUCCAGGUGUANCGGUGAAUGCGUAAAGAUCUGGAGGAAUACCGAUGGCGAANGCACCCAUCUGGCCUAUAAUGACNCUGAGUACNAAACCNUGGGGAACNAACAGGAUUAANACCNGGGAGUCCAUGCCGUAAACAAUGUNUACUACCCGUUGGGGCCCUUNGAGCUUUUAUNGCCCCACUNACCC
rnacentral:rRNA from 1 species